AUCAUCCACAUACACUUCCAUAGGCUGAAAACAAACAUGUAUUGUUAGACAAAAAAUACUUAACUAUGAUUGCGAAGCCCUCAGAAACUUAUUGCCGCAAAGAUUCUUUACAUUUCUUUUUCAAAUGGUAAUUCCAAAUUUUCAUCAUAGGGUAAUUUGCAGCAUAGUAAUAAAAUUACUUUAAAUAAUUUACACAUAAAAAGUAAAUCACAAAUACUUAAGACUGACCACUAACAAAUAGUAUAAAAAUGCCUUACUCUAAAAAUAUUUCAUUUAAAAUGUAUAAAUUAACUAAGACAAAACAACUCUCAACCAUUUAUGGAAGCUGAUAUCCCAAUGACUGACGACGGCCAGCUCAAAAAGUCGGUACAAACACCAACAGAGACGUGCAUAAGCCAAAAGUCAUCCAGUUCAUCACUUCAAAGAGCUUGUCUUCCCGUUCAGGCCUGGGAUACAAGGUAAUGAGCGCUCACUAUCUUGAGAGAAUACUGUGACCAGCAGGUGUGUGUUAAGUGUAGCCUAAGCUGAGUGUGGUUGUAAGGUGUAUUACAUAAUUACAAGACCCAGCUUGCCACCUGCGUUCAGCGCAGGCAGUCUCUGAAUCUCAUCCUGCCAAUUUGUAAUAAAAAGGCAGUCCCUAUUUUGCAAUCAAUGAAGAAUUGUUCUCAUAGGACAUUACUAAAAGAAGGUCGCCUAUGAGUGUAGGCAUUUUUUUUUUAGAUAUUCAAGUUUGGUGGGUUUUUUUGGCUCAGCUGGAGUGUGGAUUUUAAUCAUUUACGAUACUGGAGAUUUGACUUGAAUGUACAAUAUUCAAGAUAAUAGCCACUUAAGGAUUUUUCCACAGCCUCCAUAAACAUGUCAAGCAAGGACAAAGUGACAGGUAAGUUGAUGUUGAUUGGAGAAAAUUACAUCUUGCAUGAACUUCUUGCAAACU